rnacentral:rRNA from 1 species
AGUUUGAUCCUGGCUCAGAUUGAACGCUGGCGGCAGGCCUAACACAUGCAAGUCGAACGGUAACAGAAAGCAGCUUGCUGCUUUGCUGACGAGUGGCGGACGGGUGAGUAAUGUCUGGGAAACUGCCUGAUGGAGGGGGAUAACUACUGGAAACGGUAGCUAAUACCGCAUAACGUCGCAAGACCAAAGAGGGGGACCUUCGGGCCUCUUGCCAUCGGAUGUGCCCAGAUGGGAUUAGCUUGUUGGUGGGGUAACGGCUCACCAAGGCGACGAUCCCUAGCUGGUCUGAGAGGAUGACCAGCCACACUGGAACUGAGACACGGUCCAGACUCCUACGGGAGGCAGCAGUGGGGAAUAUUGCACAAUGGGCGCAAGCCUGAUGCAGCCAUGCCGCGUGUAUGAAGAAGGCCUUCGGGUUGUAAAGUACUUUCAGCGGGGAGGAAGGGAGUAAAGUUAAUACCUUUGCUCAUUGACGUUACCCGCAGAAGAAGCACCGGCUAACUCCGUGCCAGCAGCCGCGGUAAUACGGAGGGUGCAAGCGUUAAUCGGAAUUACUGGGCGUAAAGCGCACGCAGCGGUUUGUUAAGUCA